GACAGAGGGUGCAAGCGUUGUUCGGAAUUACUGGGCGUAAAGCGCGCGUAGGUGGUUUUGUGUGUCUGGUGUGAAAGCCCUUGGCUCAACCAAGGAAGUGCGCCGGAAACUGCAAAACUCGAGUUUGGGAGAGGGGGGUAGAAUUCUCAAUGUAGAGGUGAAAUUCGUAGAUAUUGGGAGGAACACCGGUGGCGAAGGCGACCACCUGGAUCAA
rnacentral:rRNA from 1 species